GUAGGGUGCGAGCGUUAAUCGGAAUUACUGGGCGUAAAGCGUGCGCAGGCGGCGCGUUAAGACAGGUGUGAAAGCCCCGAGCUUAACUUGGGAAUUGCGCUUGUGACUGGCGUGCUGGAGUGUGGCAGAGGGAGGUGGAAUUCCACGUGUAGCAGUGAAAUGCGUAGAGAUGUGGAGGAACACCGAUGGCGAAGGCAGCCUCCUGGGCCAGCACUGACGCUCAUGCACGAAAGCGUGGGGAGCAAACAGGAUUAGAUACCCUGGUAGUCCACGCCCUAAACGAUGUCAACUGGUUGUUGGUGGGGUUAAACCCAUUAGUAACGAAGCUAACGCGUGAAGUUGACCGCCUGGGGAGUACGGCCGCAAGGUUA
rnacentral:rRNA from 1 species